rnacentral:rRNA from 1 species
AACGAACGCUGGCGGCGUGCCUAACACAUGCAAGUCGAACGAGAAAUCCUUCGGGAUGAGUACAGUGGCGCACGGGUGAGUAAUACUUGGGUAACCUGCCUUGAAAACCGGGACAACCUUCCGAAAGGAGGGCUAAUACCGGAUAAGACCACAGGAACUGCGGUUCCAGAGGUCAAAGGGUGCUGAAAGGUAUCGUUUCAAGAUGGGCCCAAGGCGCAUUAGCUUGUUGGUAGGGUAACGGCCUACCAAGGCNGCGAUGCGUAGCUGGUCUGAGAGGACGAUCAGCCACACUGGAACUGAGACACGGUCCAGACUCCUACGGGAGGCAGCAGUGGGGAAUAUUGGGCAAUGGAGGAAACUCUGACCCAGCAACGCCGCGUGAGUGAUG